CAGAAGUCUGACGGAGCACGCCGCGUGAGUGAUGAAGGCUUUCGGGUCGUAAAACUCUGUUGUUAGGGAAGAACAAGUGCUAGUUGAAUAAGCUGGCACCUUGACGGUACCUAACCAGAAAGCCACGGCUACUACGUGCCAGCAGCCGCGGUAAUACGUAGGUGGCAAGCGUUAUCCGGAAUUAUUGGGCGUAAAGCGCGCGCAGGUGGUUUCUUAAGUCUGAUGUGAAAGCCCAC
rnacentral:rRNA from 1 species